UACGGAGGGUGCGAGCGUUGUCCGGAAUCAUUGGGCGUAAAGGGCGCGUAGGUGGCCCAGUCAGCGUGCGGUGAAAGCUCGGGGCUCAACCCCGGGUCGGCCGUGCGAACUACUGGGCUGGAGCACUGUAGAGGCAGGCGGAAUUCCGGGUGUAGCGGUGGAAUGCGUAGAUAUUCGGAAGAACACCAGUGGCGAAGGCGACUCACUGGACACGUAUUGACGCUGAGGUGCGAAAGCGUGGGGAGCAAACAGG
rnacentral:rRNA from 1 species